AGCUGGGAUAGCUCAGUCGGUAGAGCAGAAGGCUCUUGAUCUCAGGGUCGUGGGUUCAAGCCUCAUGUUGGUCA